rnacentral:tRNA from 1 species
UCCUCUGUAGCUCAGUCGGUAGAGCAGUUGACUGUUAAUCAAUUGGUCGCAGGUUCGAGUCCUGCCGGGGGAG